rnacentral:rRNA from 1 species
GUGAGGAAUAUUGCGCAAUGGACGAAAGUCUGACGCAGCCAUGCCGCGUGAAGGAUUGACGGCCCUAUGGGUUGUAAACUUCUUUUGUAUAGGAAUAAACCCUCGUUCGUGAACGAGGCUGAAGGUACUAUAAGAAUAAGCACCGGCUAACUCCGUGCCAGCAGCCGCGGUAAUACGGAGGGUGCAAGCGUUAUCCGGGUUUAUUGGGUUUAAAGGGUCCGUAGGCGGAUCGUUAAGUCAGUGGUGAAAUCCUACCGCUCAACGGUAGAACUGCCAUUGAUACUGGCGAUCUUGAGUAUGUAUGAAGUUGGCGGAAUGUGUGGUGUAGCGGUGAAAUGCUUAGAUAUCACACAGAACACCGAUUGCGAAGGCAGCUGACUAAUACACAACUGACGCUGAGGGACGAAAGUGUGGGGAUCAAACAGGAUUAGAAACCCCAGUAGUCC